rnacentral:rRNA from 1 species
AGUGAACGCUGGCGGCGUGCCUAAUACAUGCAAGUCGAACGGAGUGGCGCACGGGUGAGUAAUAUAUAGCUAAUCUGCCCCUUGCUGGAGGACAACAGUUAGAAAUGACUGCUAAUACUCCAUAGCAAGGGAUGAGACUAUAUCGUAUCAGCUAGUCGGUGGGGUAACGGCCUACCGAGGUUAUGACGCGUAACUGGUCGGAGAGGAUGAUCAGUCACAUGAGAACCGAGAAACGAUACAAACUUCUUCGGGAGGCAGCUAUAGGGUAUAUGGCUCAAUGGGGGAAACCCUAACGCAGCACCGAGGCGUGGAUAAUGCCCCUUUUCGUGGCGAAAACUCGUUUUGUUAGGAACGCGGUACCUAACAAUUAAGAACCGGUUAACUCCGUGCCAGCAGCCGCGGUAAUUC